rnacentral:rRNA from 2 species
AUAACAAUGAUUCCCUCAGUAACGGCGAGCGAAGAGGGAUAAGCUCAAAUUUUAAAUCUGUUGGGUUUCACUUAACAGAGUUGUAUUUUGAAGAAACGUUUUCUGCGUCCAGGAUUAGCCUAAAUCCUUUGGGAUAAGGUAUCAUGGAGGGUGAGAAUCCCGUUCAUGGUUAAUCUUAAGGAAGCUCUACGAUACGUUUUCCAAGAGUCGAGUUGUUUGGGAUUGCAGCUCAAAAUGGGAGGUAAAUUUCUCCUAAGGCUAAAUAUUGGCGAGAGACCGAUAGCGAACAAGUACCGUGAGGGAAAGAUGAAAAGAACUUUGAAAAGAGAGUUAAACAGUACGUGAAAUUGUUGAAAGGGAAACGAUUGAAGUCAGUCAUACCAACGGGAAAUCAACCUUUUGAGCUCGGUCUCGUGGGUUUUGAAGAGUUUCAAAGCCUUCGGAUUCGCGGGAUUGGGAUCUCUCGGUGUACUUUUUCGUACGGUUAGUCAACAUCGGUUUUGAAUGUCAUAAAAUGACUGGAGGAAUGUAGCUUCGAUCUCGUAUUGAAGUGUUAUAGCCUUUGGUAGAUGUGAUGUUUGAGACCGAGGAUUGCAACGGAUACCCUUCAGGGCUAUUCGUCUGAUCUCUGAUACGUUGCCUUGAUGUUGAAAGCUUGCUUAUGAUGUUAGGGUAUUACGGUCAAAAGGUUAGAACGAAUUACAUUCGUUAAGGAUGU